UAGGGAAUAUUGGGCAAUGGACGAAAGUCUGACCCAGCCAUGCCGCGUGCAGGAUGACGGCCCUAUGGGUUGUAAACUGCUUUUAUAAGAGAAGAAACCCUUCGAUUCUUCGAAGGCUGACGGUAUCUUAUGAAUAAGGAUCGGCUAACUCCGUGCCAGCAGCCGCGGUAAUACGGAGGAUCCAAGCGUUGUCCGGAUUUAUUGGGUUUAAAGGGUGCGUAGGCGGGCUAAUAAGUCAGUGGUGAAAUCC
rnacentral:rRNA from 1 species